UUAACAUGCACCUGAGUCACCUGGGGAUCGGUUAAAAUGCAGAUUCUAGUUCAGUAGGCCUGGGGUGGGGCCAAGACUGCAUUUCUAACAGGCGUCCUAGCGAUGCAAACGCGGCUGCCACGCUCCUCUAAGGAAUGGGAAGGAGGCCACUCCAGGCCCGCCAGGCGCUGCGCCACUCUCUCCCGCUUCCGCCCCCGCGGCAGCAUCGCCGCAGCCUCAGAGUCUGGCUUCGUCACAUUAAAAUCAGAUUCCAGGGCGGCUAGAGCUCCAGGCCGGGCCUCAGUGGGGAGGGGCUCCGCCUGGAAAGACUGCGGAUGCCUCUGCCUCCUGUUGGGGCCUGGGCUCCGGAAGCCAGCCCCGCCCUGGCUAAGCAGGCUCUCGGCGCCGAAAAGGACCGGGACAGAAGUUUCCAAAGAGGACCCUUUGUCCCCCCACCCUCUCCGCGGUGGUGGCCGACGCCGCGCCGCGCCCGCCGGGGCACGCAAUGUGCCAGCGCCGCUGCUGCACCUUUCUGCCGUCCUCCGGGCGCGGCGACCUGGAGAAAGAUCUAGCAAAAUGAGGAUUCCGGGCGCCGCCCCCCUUCCCUUCUCCGCUCCAUCCCCGAAUGACGGGGCUUCCUGGUGGAAAUGUGUGUCACCUGAUCUGCUCUAAAGUAUUUUAAGUCUGGGAACUUGACCGUUUGCGAGGAUGGGAUGGGAUGGGGGUAGGGGGGUCUUCAGAGCUAAAGACUUUGCAGCUGGCACGCAGCUUUGCAGGGAGCGCUCUCGGCGGGGCAGGCGAGCUGGACGCAGCGCGAGCUUCUCUUCCAGAAAGCAUCCUUGGGCUCUCUGUAUUUGCUGAGAGGAUAGAAGCAGCUUUUUAAGGCCUCCCCUAUCCACUCAACCCCUCCCUGCUUUCUGUCUCACCUCGUAGGAUGGAAAGAAAAAAGAAAACAGCUGUGACUAGCGGCGACUGGAGGGUGGGUGGCGCCGAGGCAGAACUGAAUGUGCAGAAACCCCAGGGGCGGCUCACAGUGGACUCCCUGCUGAGGGGCAUUUGUUUCAGGGCUAUGUCUCCCAGCCCCCCAGGAAAAGUGCCGGAAGCUGUAGAAGCUGAGUCAGCGUCGACUGCUAACGUCUGGAGACUUCGCAAGUCACAUGCCCGUUUCUGAGU
rnacentral:lncRNA from 1 species